UUAAAGUGAUGAUUACUGAGAAUGGUUUCGCUUAAUGUGCUGAUGUUGAGUGAUGUCUCAAUUCUCUUGGCUAUCUGAUUCC
ensembl:snoRNA